rnacentral:tRNA from 1 species
GGACGAGUAGCUCAGCGGAAGAGCAGGUGUUUUACACGCACAAGGUCGCAGGUUCGAUCCCUGCCUCGUCUACCA